UACGUAGGGGGCAAGCGUUGUCCGGAUUCACUGGGUUUAAAGGGUGCGUAGGUGGGCUGGUAAGUCAGUGGUGAAAUCUCCAGGCUUAACUUGGAAACUGCCAUUGAUACUAUCAGUCUUGAAUACCGUGGAGGUCAGCGGAAUAUGUCAUGUAGCGGUGAAAUGCUUAGAUAUGACAUAGAACACCAAUUGCGAAGGCAGCUGGCUACACGAAUAUUGACACUGAUGCACGAAAGCGUGGGGAUCAAACAGG
rnacentral:rRNA from 1 species